CCUACGGGUGGCUGCAGUGAGGAAUAUUGGUCAAUGGGCGUAAGCCUGAACCAGCCAAGUCGCGUGAGGGAUGAAGGUUCUAUGGAUCGUAAACCUCUUUUAUAAGGGAAUAAAGUGUGGGACGUGUCCUAUUUUGUAUGUACCUUAUGAAUAAGGAUCGGCUAACUCCGUGCCAGCAGCCGCGGUAAUACGGAGGAUCCGAGCGUUAUCCGGAUUUAUUGGGUUUAAAGGGUGGGUAGGCGGCCUUUUAAGUCAGCGGUGAAAGUCUGGGGCUAAACCAUAGAAUUGCCGUUGAAACUGGGGGGCUUGAGUAUGGUUGAGGCAGGAGGAAUGCGUGGUGUAGCGGUGAAAUGCUUAGAUAUCACGCAGAACCACGAUUGCGAAGGCAGCCUGCCAAGCCAUGACUGACGCUGAUGCACGAAAGCGUGGGGAUCAAACAGGAUUAGAUACCCCAGUAGUC
rnacentral:rRNA from 1 species